CUGUAGGAAAAUUAUGCAUGCACCCCAAAGGGCUCAUACCUCUUAUUUGCUAAAUAAGUUUAAUAAUCAUAUAUUAUUAGUGUGCUGGAAAUUUUUGAAUAGUAUAUCUAUUACAGGUAUUAACAGUAGCAUUUAUUUUGAGCAGACAUUGAGAAAGCAAGGGUGGAAACUGAGAUUUUAGAAAACUCAGUUUGCUAGUUUCUACUUCAACUGGAAAGGCUUGAGGGCAGUGCAAAAUAAGAAUUGGUGGAUAAACAACAUUGGCAAAGCGAAGGAAGGAACAUCAUUCAAGUUGGCUGCAUUGCUUAUUGCUGCAUGGUGGAUAGACAAUGUUGCCUGUAUGACUUAGUGUUUUUCUAAAAUGUGUGUAAAUGGCAUCUUUGUAUCUUUGUAUCUUUGUAUACAUAAACAAAUUCUUCCAAAUGGUUGUAAUAUCCAUGUGAGUGCGAUAAGAAAUUAUUAUCAUCUUGAUAUUUGCCAUUCAAUAAAUGGGCCACCUUUGAUUUUAGUCUCUUA